GGGCACCUAGCUCAGUUGGUUAGAGCACCCCGUUUACACCGGGGGGGUCGGGGGUUCGAAUCCCUCGGUGCCCA
rnacentral:tRNA from 1 species